GGGAGUUUUGUUGGAUUGCGUUAGGCUGUUUUAUGACUUUGCUGUGCAAAUCCAUGCAAAACUCUCUGUUACCCAGACA
rnacentral:pre_miRNA from 10 species